CCUACGGUGGCAGCAGUGGGGAAUAUUGCACAAUGGGGGAAACCCUGAUGCAGCGACGCCGCGUGAGUGAAGAAGUAAUUCGUUAUGUAAAGCCCUAUCAGCAGGGGAGAAAAUGACGGUACCUGAGUAAGAAGCCACGGCUAACUACGUGCCAGCAGCCGCGGUAAUCCGUAGGGGGCAAGCGUUAUCCGGAUUUACUGGGUGUAAAGGGGGCGUAGACGGCAGUGCAGGUCUGGAGUGAAAGUCGGGGGCUCAACCCCCGGACUGCUCUGGAAACUGUACGGCUGGAGUGCAGGAGAGGUAAGUGGAAUUCCUAGUGUAGCGGUGAAAUGCGUAGAUAUCACGCAGAACCCCGAUUGCGAAGGCAGCAUACCGGUGCACAACUGACGCUCAGGCACGAAAGCGUGGGUAUCGAACAGGAUUAGAUACCCGUGUAGUC
rnacentral:rRNA from 1 species